UAGGGAAUCUUCGGCAAUGGACGAAAGUCUGACCGAGCAACGCCGCGUGAGUGAAGAAGGUUUUCGGAUCGUAAAACUCUGUUGUUAGAGAAGAACAAGGACGUUAGUAACUGAACGUCCCCUGACGGUAUCUAACCAGAAAGCUACGGCUAACUACGUGCCAGCAGCCGCGGUAAUACGUAGGUGGCAAGCGUUGUCCGGAUUUAUUGGGCGUAAAGCGAGCGCAGGCGGUUUCUUAAGUCUGAUGUGAAAGCCCCCGGCUCAAACGGGGAAGGUCAUUGGAAACUGGGAGACUUGAGUGCAGAAGAGGAGAGGGGAAUUCCAGGUGUAGCGGGGAAAUGCGUAGAUAUAUGGAGGAACACCAGUGGCGAAGGCGGCUCUAUGGUCUGUAACUGACGCUGAGGCUCGAAAGCGUGGGGAGCAAACAGG
rnacentral:rRNA from 1 species